AUCAGAAAAUAAAAUUUGGGUGUAAAAAUUCCCUGAAAAUUCAGAAUAUGAUUAAUUUCUUAAAAUGAGUGCCCCUCAGGCAUUUAAAUAUAUGAUUCAAUUUGUUAAAAUUAGAUUUACACAUUUGACACAUGUGGAUUUGAAGACAUGUGAGUGUUUCUCCUUCCUACUUGCUAGAUGAAGAAACACACAGACGGCUUCUCUGUAUAAUAUACAACCGUGUUUAACUUGAAAUAUCAAUUUGGCAAGGUAAUUGAAGUAUACAUGGCAAGAGCAAUUUUUAAUGUGUUUAUAGUUCCAUGCCUUGUAACAAAAAAAAAGUGGAACAAAGUUAGAUUAGUUAACACUCUACUUGAGCAAUACUCUUCUUUAUCUGGGUGGGAAUCACACGAGCCCUUGAAAGCAGAAAAGGAAGGCAGAUGAGAUGCGGCAGAAGGGGAGGCCGAGUGAUAGGAAACCCUCCAUUGCUGGCUUUGAAGAUGAGAUGGUCAUGGGCCAGGGAAUGUGGGCCGCCUCUAGCAGUUGAGAGCUCCCCACUGCUGCCAACCAGCCAGGAAAUGGAGACCUCAGUCCUGCAACCAUUAGAACUGAUUUCUAUCAACACCUGGGAUGAGCCUAGAAGUGGAUUCUUCCUCAGAAGCUCUACAGGGAACACAGGGCAACUGACACUUUGAUCCCCUUAUUAGAUUCUAAUCAUAUUACAUAGCUGAGUCUGCUGGAUUUCUGAUCUGCAGAACUGUGAGAUAAUAUGUGGGUGUUGUCCUAAGCGGCUAAAUUUGUGACAAUAGAAAACCAAUACACUCUCCCUCCAUCCACCCAUUCAGCAAAUAUUUAUUAAUCUCAGGAAGUGCUAAGAACAAUUGCUGAGCUGUUGAUAAAGCAGUGAAAAAAAAGACAAAAGUCCCUGCCUUCAUGGAAUUUACAUUUAGUAACAAUACCUACAUUAAAACAAACAACAAACAAACAAACAAACCCUAGCUUUCAGCUCAUUGCUGUUGGAUCUCACAGGACUAUUAAGAUUAGAACAAGACUAGACCUAUUAGGCAGUCCUCAUGAUGGGAAAUGCAACAGGUGAUGUAUCAUCCUCCCUGACCAUAUGUCAUACACAUUUGGGUGGACUCGCAAAUCUAGUUGGUAGGUAGCUUCAGGACAAAUGGUCUCUAAUGCGCUUUGGUUGGGUUUAUAAGCAAGAUAUACAUAUCAUCACGUGGUCCUUAGCAAAGAUUUAGCAAAAAUCAUAUACAUU
rnacentral:lncRNA from 1 species